UACGAAGGGGGCUAGCGUUGUUCGGAUUUACUGGGCGUAAAGCGCGUGUAGGCGGGCCGUUAAGUCGGGGGUGAAAUCCCAGAGCUCAACUCUGGAACUGCCUCCGAGACUGGCGGCCUGGACCCAAGGAGAGGCGAGUGGAAUUCCGAGUGUAGAGGUGAAAUUCGUAGAUAUUCGGAGGAACACCAGUGGCGAAGGCGACUCGCUGGACUUGUGGUGACGCUGAGACGCGAAAGCGUGGGGAGCAAACAGG
rnacentral:rRNA from 1 species